UUGUGAUCCGUACCUGCGUUUUCUUAGAUGAUGGUGGAAAACGUGGUGACCAUCCUUUGCUUUCAUUUUGUCAUUUACAACCAAAGCAGAUAUCAGAAUAUUUGUUUGGACUGUUCUUAGACUCAAGCAUUUAAUUGGUGAUCUGAUCUUUAGUUUGCAUUGUUUCAGGAUAGAAGAAAAGUGUUGUGGUAGCAUAAAAACAUCAGUUGGUACAGAAGACUCUACAUGCUCAUUUACACCAUGACAGCAAGGGGAGACACUAACAAGCUGGCUGCAAAGGAAUCAUCUUCCCUGCUAAGGUUAUAGAUUACCAGUGUUUGUUGCUGAACUUUCCAGAUCAUCCAUAUCAACAUAAAAUUACUGCAGCACCUGAAGUGCAUUCACCAAAAAAAGGUUUCUAGAUGUAGUUAUCCCUGGACUGCUCUGAGAACUGGUCCUGGUGCUUUGGUGGGACUGCGGUUAUUGAAGCACUGCUCAGCAGCAGGGACCUCCAGUCAUGACCACUGCAGAAGAUCUUGCUGCAAUGGUAAGCAAGGUGCAGAGCUGCUGUGUACACUUAUCACAGGCCCAAACACACUGUGCUGCUCAACUGCCAAGCCCUGUCUCAUGUGAUACCAUUCUGAGGUGUACACAUGAAGGUAAAAGCGAUGUUGUCCUUGAGGCUGUGUCCAGAAAUUCAGUGAGGUCUUUUACUGGACCUGAGCAGCAAGUGUCGUAUUCCCAAAACGUGCACUUGAAGCAGUCCCUAUGUCACUGGUAGCUGUUUUUCUGAUCAGAUUUUCAGUCUACUAGCUAGCUCAGCCAAACACAGCAACUAAGGAAAUAUCGAGGAACUCUGCUUUACUUACUCACAUGGGUGCCUCUUAGAGUCUUCUGGAAGGUCCAGUCCAGCAGUGAGCAACUUUCACAUUU